CCGAUUAGAGUUUGAUCCUGGCUCAGGAUGAACGCUGGCGGCGUGCUUAACACAUGCAAGUCGAACGAUGAAGCCCAGCUUGCUGGGUGGAUUAGUGGCGAACGGGUGAGUAACACGUGAGUAACCUGCCCUUAACUCUGGGAUAAGCCUGGGAAACUGGGUCUAAUACCGGAUAGGAGCGUCCACCGCAUGGUGGGUGUUGGAAAGAUUUAUCGGUUUUGGAUGGACUCGCGGCCUAUCAGCUUGUUGGUGAGGUGAUGGCUCACCAAGGCGACGACGGGUAGCCGGCCUGAGAGGGUGACCGGCCACACUGGGACUGAGACACGGCCCAGACUCCUACGGGAGGCAGCAGUGGGGAAUAUUGCACAAUGGGCGCAAGCCUGAUGCAGCGACGCCGCGUGAGGGAUGACGGCCUUCGGGUUGUAAACCUCUUUCAGUAGGGAAGAAGCGAAAGUGACGGUACCUGCAGAAGAAGCACCGGCUAACUACGUGCCAGCAGCCGCGGUAAUACGUAGGGUGCGAGCGUUAUCCGGAAUUAUUGGGCGUAAAGAGCUCGUAGGCGGUUUGUCGCGUCUGUCGUGAAAGUCCGGGGCUUAACCCCGGAUCUGCGGUGGGUACGGGCAGACUAGAGUGCAGUAGGGGAGACUGGAAUUCCUGGUGUAGCGGUGGAAUGCGCAGAUAUCAGGAGGAACACCGAUGGCGAAGGCAGGUCUCUGGGCUGUAACUGACGCUGAGGAGCGAAAGCAUGGGGAGCGAACAGGAUUAGAUACCUUGGUAGUCCAUGCCGUAAACGUUGGGCACUAGGUGUGGGGACCAUUCCACGGUUUCCGCGCCGCAGCUAACGCAUUAAGUGCCCCGCCUGGGGAGUACGG
rnacentral:rRNA from 1 species